UACGAAGGGUGCAAGCGUUACUCGGAAUUACUGGGCGUAAAGCGUGCGUAGGUGGUUUGUUAAGUCUGUUGUGAAAGCCCCGGGCUCAACCUGGGAAUGGCAAUGGAUACUGGCAGGCUAGAGUGCGGUAGAGGGUAGUGGAAUUCCCGGUGUAGCGGUGAAAUGCGUAGAGAUCGGGAGGAACACCAGUGGCGAAGGCGGUUCUCUGGGCAUUACCUGACGCUGAGGAGCGAAAGUGUGGGGAGCGAACAGG
rnacentral:rRNA from 1 species